rnacentral:rRNA from 1 species
GAUGAACGCUGGCGGCGUGCCUAAUACAUGCAAGUCGAGCGAACAGACGAGGAGCUUGCUCCUCUGACGUUAGCGGCGGACGGGUGAGUAACACGUGGAUAACCUACCUAUAAGACUGGGAUAACUUCGGGAAACCGGAGCUAAUACCGGAUAAUAUAUUGAACCGCAUGGUUCAAUAGUGAAAGACGGUUUUGCUGUCACUUAUAGAUGGAUCCGCGCCGCAUUAGCUAGUUGGUAAGGUAACGGCUUACCAAGGCUACGAUGCGUAGCCGACCUGAGAGGAUGAUCCGCCACACUGGAACUGAGACACGGUCCAGACUCCUACGGGAGGCAGCAGUAGGGAAUCUUCCACAAUGGGCGAAAGCCUGACGGAGCAACGCCGCGUGAGUGAUGAAGGUCUUCGGAUCGUAAAACUCUGUUAUUAGGGAAGAACAAAUGUGUAAGUAACUAUGCACGUCUUGACGGUACCUAAUCAGAAAGCCACGGCUAACUACGUG